GUUCUUUACUGCUCUGUCUCAUUCUAUGUGUUUGCUGACUUAUCUGAAGGGAAGAAAAAAACACAUAAAAGCCUUGGGUCUGUUACAGAAAUACAUGUAUAAAUUAGUAGAACAAGAAGAAAGAAAGGUUCUGUAUCAGGACGAUGAGGUGGAACGAAAACCCUUUCAGCGUCAUCAAAUAAGAAAACGAACCCACUCUGCUCAGAGAUGCAUUGCCAGAGUUUUCCCUCAGAAGAGCGUGCGCAGAAAGAUACCGCACGGUGUGUUUAUUUUAUCUCCAGAAAUAAACAUUUCGGUCCCUGCGGGAAUCGGCGAGGCCAACUACAUUUUAUUUCUGUUUUUAUUCACUCUUCUAUAACCCCCAGAGUAUCCGACUUGCAACAGCAGCAUGCCAAGCCUUACUGUAAACCCGUUCUGAACCCGAUGAGUAGGGCCAGGGGAAUGCCAUGAUGUCCCCUCAUCUCCAGAGUGAACAAGGGUCCCACAGACUGUGGAAUGGAAGAACAAACAGCAAGUUUCAUAGAUGUAUUCAGACUUGACACAGUGGCUCUGGGUAGGAGUAUCUCUACUUCUGUGACUCUAGUGCCUGAUAGGUAAACUUAUCAGUCCAUAGUUAACAUGGUUUGCUAAGUAUUCAGAAAAGCCCUAUGAGGACUUCUGCAGAGUCCAGAUUCCAAGUGCAAAUGCUUAAAUCCUUACAGGAAUGGUCUCAGUAUAAAACAGACAGCAGGGUCUUUGAGAUUCUUCCAUUUUCAGCCAAUGAAUGGUAGGCAGCAUCACGAGUCGUCAUCAUUAUGGGUCAAGUGUACUGAUACCAGGUCACAUUAUGGAAGCAGUGGUUUAGGGCAGUCUUGGUACGUCGAUAUUCUUUCUCUUUCACUAAGAGGCCCCAGCUCAAAGAAGAGAGCAGAGAGUUUGUCAGAGCGGCCACUCCAUCAGAAGAAGGAGCCAGAGAUUUGUGACCAAAUCAGGAGAGUUUAAAACCUGUUUUUCCAGGUUGCCAGAGUUCGGGAGUUUUAAAGUGUCUGAGGGGCAGGAAAGGGCAGCUUUGCAGCAUUUAUCAGGGCACCAGGAGGGAAGGGAUACCAGAGGAGGUUACAUCACAGAGAAAAGGAAAGGAGCAUUAGAAACAAAGUCGCUAAAGUCAAUCCUUCUUUCUCUGAAGAUCAAACGGGUAGUAAGAUGUCACUCUGAAAGCAUCUUCAUUACUUUGGUGGUAAGGAGACCAAUCAACAUAAAAUACUUGAUAUUGGCAUAGUUAAUCCAUUACCCUCAAAUUUUCCACGCUUCACUAUUUGCCAUUUAAAUCAGGAUUCACUUUGCAAAGACAGCCUUCCCUAUUGGCCUCAAGUUUUGUUUAGCUGUUGUUAUCAUUCUCAUAGUUAACAUCUGCCCUCCUCCCCUUUUUGAUCAUGUGAACAACAGCAGCAGCAAAGGCAAACAAAUUUUAUUAAGAUUGGAAUUUAACAGAGUUUUCAGCUCAGAGAAUGGUAACUGGAUUAGGGAAACCAUAAUAAUUCCAGGCUUGAGUUUUCUAUUUUGAGAAUUCAUACAGAGCGACUUUUAUUUUAUUCCAGUCACAGUAAAACUGCAUGGCUUAUAUGACUAAAACCUUGGAUAUGGUUAAUGCACACAGAUGAUAAUCACAUAAACCGUAAUAAAUAAUAAAAUGCACACAAACAAUCUAAUUAAUCACUCUUGAGUUUUAUAGGGGCACACUAUGAAGAAUUACCAAUGACAUUCCUUGCUCAGGAAUAAUGCUUAAAAGAUACUAAAAGAAAAAGGAGAAAGAAAAAAAUAUGAGAAUAAAAUAUAAACAACAGAAAUCUAAUUAGGUAAGCUGAACAGAGUAAUUUAUUCCUACAUCCAGAGAAAGCAACCUAAAAGGUGGCCCCUGCUCAGCCAACACCUUGGUAUCCCAGACUGGACCAAUGUGCGCAUGUCACAGGCUCUUUCUUUAAAAAAAAAAAAAAACAGUGCUCAUCUCUUCCAUGCCUUUCUAAAGAGUUUUCAAAACUUCUCUUUCCAGAUAAUGCCAAGCGGACUUAAGUAGCUUAGCUGCUGGAGAAAGUUGAUGGUUGGGAUACAUCAAGAAACUUGAGUAUUACUCCAAAGAAAAGAACAACAAAAAAUAAAUUCCUCUGAGGUUACAUAGUUAUUGUUCCUUCUAUAGCCUUCUUCGUUGAUGUGUUCAGGCAAAUCUUGGGAAGCUCCUGGGUGUCAUGUGGGAACCAUGGCCUUGGCGCAUCAUUUCUAUGGCUGGAUUUUGGCAGCUGGAACUCUUUCGACUAUGGCGGCUAUUUUCUCUGAAGUGGGGCCAUACCCUGCACAUCUUUAGGUGCUGUUUUAAAGGAAUACAUUGAGCCCACGCAUUUUAACAACAGGUUGUAACUUAGUCUUGUUAUAAUAUGGAACAUAAUUACAACUGGCAAGCGAAGACCAUCUGCCAGAAGAAUUGGGUCUUCCCAGAAGCCAAGAGGAGUGUGUGUUCUUAGGAUAUCUGGAGGGCAGUGUGGCGCACGUGAGGGAGAACACGUCCUUCUGAGAACUCAGUGUACUAUCUUACCAGAAAAGCAUGCUACUUACACAUGAUUAAGCUAAAGUUUUAUUACAUAGUCACUUAUGCCACUUUUUCUUGAAUUUUUACAAGAGCCGUGCUGGCCACGACAUGGUAGCCACACACAUGGAAUAUGGCUGCUUCUGAACUAUAAUGAACUGAGACACCAGUGAACUCGAUGUUGUUUGGCCUGGCCAUGAGUCCUAUGCUUCUGGGAUAGAAAGUGGGAUCACAUUAGGAGAAGCACCCUUGCCGAGCACAAAACCCGAAGAUGUGCCAAGAGAAGAGGGAGAAUUCUGGCCAGCAUCUUUGAAGAUAAACGUUCAUCACUCCUGACCAUCAGCAAACCUGCCUCCUGCGAGGGAUUCAUUAGCGUCCGGCUGGCUUUGCCCUGUCCUUCACAAGAUAAAAUGAGUACAUCGAGCAGGACAGAACAAAUACACAGCUCUGGAAGUAUUUGUGGUUUUAAUCUGAUUCAAAACACUGACAGUUGAUUAAACCCUUUUUGCAAAUGGAAAAGUUCAUGCUGUCCAUACAAAACCACAAAACAGAGCCGAGGCAAGGACGAAUCGAGGGUUCAGGGCCACUGCUUGAGAAGGCACCAACGCAGCUUGCUCUUCACCCAUAAACGGACACGGGGGGGGGGGGUAGGGCAGGGUUAAUGGAUACUGUGGUUAGGAGGCUGCAGGAGGAACUGACGAGGUAGUUUGGUGCUGGCGCACUUAGCUGCUAGGAACCCAUUCUGAAUGAAGGUUGGGGGACUUCAGCUGAGAUCACGGCAUGGUUUCUUAGCUCAACCAUCCUUCACUGGAUAAAUCAACGAGCAAUCUAGUUUACUAUUUCUGUGCAGUUCUCUUUUUAGCGCUGGGUAUUUAGCCCUUUGCUUUAGCGUUACAUGUGAGAUCGUGUUUCUCCAGACUUCCGGCACCCUUUCAGCUGACAUGUCCUAUGACUCUUUAAAAGUGGUAUCUCCUACAGCUUGCAUGUAUUUGACUCAUUGGACCCAUUUCUUCCAAGUGGAAAACUAAUUCCUCUCCAGUUUCAGCUCUGGGAAGAGCUGAACUGGUUUCUUUCCAUGUAAAAUGUUCAGGGUUUUCAAGUUAGUGAAGUCCACAGUGGGGCCUUCAUACCUCGAAGUUGUGUUCCUAUCUGGGUGUAUUCUUUUGAUUUUCUUGGCAUCCAUUCUA